CCGGAUUCUCUGGGCGCACAGGUCGCCUGAGCCGCCUCCGCGGCCGCCGGGGUCGUGCGUGUGGCCGGGGGGCUCCGAGGAGCAGGCGGGGGCGCCGGGGCUUUUGCUGAGUUGGCGGGGUUGGCCAUGGCCGCUGCCCGCCCAGCGCGGGGGCCGGAGCUCCCGCUCCUGGGGCUGCUGCUGUUGCUGCUGGGGGGCCCGGGCCGGGGGUCGGCCUCGAGCGGGAACGCGACCGGGCCUGGGCCUCGGAGCGCGGGCGGGAGCGCGAGGAGGAGCGCGGCGGUGACCGGCCCUCCGCCGCCGCUGAGCCACUGCGGCCGGGCUGCCCCCUGCGAGCCGCUGCGCUACAACGUGUGCCUGGGCUCGGUGCUGCCCUACGGGGCCACCUCCACACUGCUGGCCGGAGACUCGGACUCCCAGGAGGAAGCGCACGGCAAGCUCGUGCUCUGGUCGGGCCUCCGGAAUGCCCCCCGCUGCUGGGCAGUGAUCCAGCCCCUGCUGUGUGCCGUAUACAUGCCCAAGUGUGAGAAUGACUGGGUGGAGCUGCCCAGCCGCACCCUCUGCCAGGCCACCCGAGGCCCCUGUGCCAUCGUGGAGAGGGAACGGGGCUGGCCUGACUUCCUGCGCUGCACUCCUGACCGCUUCCCUGAAGGCUGCACGAAUGAGGUGCAGAACAUCAAGUUCAACAGUUCAGGCCAGUGCGAAGUGCCCUUGGUUCGGACAGACAACCCCAAGAGCUGGUACGAGGACGUGGAGGGCUGCGGCAUCCAGUGCCAGAACCCGCUCUUCACAGAGGCUGAGCACCAGGACAUGCACAGCUACAUCGCGGCCUUCGGGGCCGUCACGGGCCUCUGCACGCUCUUCACCCUGGCCACAUUCGUGGCUGACUGGCGGAACUCGAAUCGCUACCCUGCUGUUAUUCUCUUCUACGUCAAUGCGUGCUUCUUUGUGGGCAGCAUUGGCUGGCUGGCCCAGUUCAUGGAUGGUGCCCGCCGAGAGAUCGUCUGCCGUGCAGAUGGCACCAUGAGGCUUGGGGAGCCCACCUCCAAUGAGACUCUGUCCUGCGUCAUCAUCUUUGUCAUCGUGUACUACGCCCUGAUGGCUGGUGUGGUUUGGUUUGUGGUCCUCACCUAUGCCUGGCACACUUCCUUCAAAGCCCUGGGCACCACCUACCAGCCUCUCUCGGGCAAGACCUCCUACUUCCACCUGCUCACCUGGUCACUCCCCUUUGUCCUCACUGUGGCAAUCCUUGCUGUGGCGCAGGUGGAUGGGGACUCUGUGAGUGGCAUUUGUUUUGUGGGCUACAAGAACUACCGAUACCGUGCGGGCUUCGUGCUGGCCCCAAUCGGCCUGGUGCUCAUCGUGGGAGGCUACUUCCUCAUCCGAGGAGUCAUGACUCUGUUCUCCAUCAAGAGCAACCACCCCGGGCUGCUGAGUGAGAAGGCUGCCAGCAAGAUCAACGAGACCAUGCUGCGCCUGGGCAUUUUUGGCUUCCUGGCCUUUGGCUUUGUGCUCAUUACCUUCAGCUGCCACUUCUACGACUUCUUCAACCAGGCUGAGUGGGAGCGCAGCUUCCGGGACUAUGUGCUAUGUCAGGCCAAUGUGACCAUCGGGCUGCCCACCAAGCAGCCCAUCCCUGACUGUGAGAUCAAGAAUCGCCCGAGCCUUCUGGUGGAGAAGAUCAACCUGUUUGCCAUGUUUGGAACUGGCAUCGCCAUGAGCACCUGGGUCUGGACCAAGGCCACGCUGCUCAUCUGGAGGCGUACCUGGUGCAGGUUGACUGGGCAGAGUGACGAUGAGCCAAAGCGGAUCAAGAAGAGCAAGAUGAUUGCCAAGGCCUUCUCCAAGCGGCACGAGCUCCUGCAGAACCCAGGCCAGGAGCUGUCCUUCAGCAUGCACACUGUGUCCCACGAUGGGCCCGUGGGUGAGCCUCACCCCUCCUCCACUGGAGCCGCCUGGCCCCGCGCUGCCCAUGUGCUAGUCUCUCCCAGCCUGCUGGGGGCACACAGAUUAUUUGGAAGACCGACUGUGAGGAGCAAGGCGCUCCCUCCAUCACUCACAUACCCAUUCUUCCCCCGGCCCCUCCUACCCUCUGGGGGGCUCUCCCCUCUCUGUUUCUGCCCCUGAGUCUGCUUGCCGGUGCUUGGGUUCCAAGAAGACUCCCCUCCCUCUCCCUUCUCAUAAAUUCUCCAGUUGCUCUCCCUGGGCAAGAGUAAGUCAGGGUUCCAAGAACUGGAUUUCUGGCCUCCAGUUAGGCCCUUUGGGGACGUGAGGCCCUUCUCUUCAGAUUCUGAAGGGGUAGAGAUCACCGUGGUUACAGGCGGGCUUGGCCUUUGACCUCAAUGAGCCCUCAGCUGAUGUCUCCUCUGCCUGGGCCCAGCAUGUCACCAAGAUGGUGGCUCGGAGAGGAGCCAUACUGCCCCAGGAUAUUUCUGUCACCCCUGUGGCAACUCCAGUGCCCCCAGAGGAACAAGCCAACCUGUGGCUGGUUGAGGCAGAGAUCUCCCCAGAGCUGCAGAAGCGCCUGGGCUGGAAGAAGAAGAGGAGGAAGAAGAAGAAGGAGGUGUGCCCUCUGGCACCGCCCCCUGAGCUUCACCCCCCUGCCCCUGCCCCCAGUACCAUUCCUCGACUGCCUCAGCUGCCCCGGCAGAAAUGCCUGGUGGCUGCAGGUGCCUGGGGAGCUGGGGACUCUUGCCGACAGGGAGUGUGGACCCUGGUCUCCAACCCAUUCUGCCCAGAGCCCAGUCCCCCUCAGGAUCCAUUUCUGCCCAGUGCACCGGCCCCCAUGGCAUGGGCUCAUGGCCGCCGACAGGGCCUGGGGCCUAUUCACUCCCGCACCAACCUGAUGGACGCAGAACUCAUGGAUGCAGACUCGGACUUCUGAGCCUGCAGAGCAGGACCUGGGACAGGAAAGAGAGGAACCAAUACCUUCAAGGCUCUGCUUCAUCACCGAGCAUGCUUCCCUAGGAUCCCGUCUUCCAGAGAACCUGUGGGCUGACUGCCCUCCGAAGAGAGUUCUGGAUGUCUGGCUCAAAGCAGCAGGACUGUGGGAAAGAGCCUAACAUCUCCAUGGGGAGGCCUCACCCCAGGGACAGGGCCCUGGAGCUCAGGGUCCUUGUUUCUGCCCCACCAGCUGCAGCCUGGUUGGCAGCAUCUGCUCCAUCGGGGCAGGGGGUAUGCAGAGCUUGUGGUGGGGCAGGAACGGUAGAGGCAGAGGUGACAGUUCCCAGAGUGGGCUUUGGUGGCCAGGGAGGCAGCCUAGCCUAUGUCUGGCAGAUGAGGGCUGGCUGCCGUUUUCUGGGCUGAUGGGUGCCCUUUCCUGGCAGUCUCAGUCCAAAAGUGUUGACUGUGUCAUCAGUCCUUUGUCUAAGUAGGGCCAGGGCGCCGUAUUCCUCUCCCAGGUGUUUGUGGGGCUGGAAGGACCUGCUCCCACAGGGGCCAUGUCCUCUCUUAAUAGGUGGCCCUACCCCAAACCCAUCUUUUGUUCUCCUAUAUCCUCCUUCUCCUGUUCCAUUUCAGUUCAGUUUCAGCGGUGCCAACCUCUUUGCGUUUCCUUUUUGUUGAUGAGGACCCAGAGCUGCUGCACACACUCACCUCUAACCCCCUCCCCUCGCUGCUGGGCCCCAUCUCCACAGGAGAGACUGGUUCAGCUCUAGGGCCUCAGUCUGGAGUGGGAUAGGAGCAGUGAGUGACAAAGCCUCUGAAAGAUGCAUCAUCUCUUCCUCACACCCAUUCAGUGGGGCUCUAGACUUGAGGGGCUACCCUGGGAAGCUGCUGUAGCUUCAGCCAGGCAAGAAAGCUUCCUUCAACCUGCAUAGCCAGUGGGUGAGGAGAUUCCCACCUUCCAUAGCCUCCAAACAUGUUCCCAAGGCCCCACUUUCAAGAAUCAGACAGCAGGAAGCCAUAGAUGCUGGCUGGGUUCCAGGUUAUGGGGAGAAGAAAUACAGUCAAUAAAAGGUUUUUGUAUAAA